rnacentral:rRNA from 1 species
AAUGAACGCUGGCGGCGUGGAUUAGGCAUGCAAGUCGAACGCGAAAGUUCCCUUCGGGGAGCGAGUAGAGUGGCGAAAGGGUGAGUAAUGCUUGGAUGACCUGCCCUCGAGACGGGGACAACAGUUCGAAAGGACUGCUAAUACCCGAUAGUCCGGUUUAGAUGCGUCUAGAUCGGUAAAUGGUGCUUCCGCUCGAGGAGGGGUUCAAGUCCUAUCAGCUUGUUGGUGAGGUAACGGCUCACCAAGGCGAUGACGGGUAGCCGGACUGAGAGGUUGGCCGGCCACAUGGGAACUGAGACACUGUCCUGACUCCUACGGGAGGCUGCAGUCGAGAAUC